AGGACGAACGCUGGCGGCGUGCUUAACACAUGCAAGUCGAGCGAGGCCCUCUCUUCGGAGAGGUGCCCUAGCGGCGAACGGGUGAGUAACACGUGGGCAACCUGCCCCUAGCACUGGGAUAAGCCCGGGAAACCGGGUCUAAUACCGGAUAUGACCUUCAAGGGCAUCCUCGAAGGUGUAAAGGAUUCCGGCUAGGGAUGGGCCCGCGGCCUAUCAGCUUGUUGGUGGGGUAACGGCCCACCAAGGCAACGACGGGUAGCCGGCCUGAGAGGGCGACCGGCCACACUGGGACUGAGACACGGCCCAGACUCCUACGGGAGGCAGCAGUGGGGAAUAUUGCACAAUGGGCGAAAGCCUGAUGCAGCGACGCCGCGUGAGGGAUGACGGCCUUCGGUUGUAAACCUCUUCAGCUCCGACGAAGCGAAAGUGACGGUAGGAGCAGAGAAGCACCGGCCAACUACGUGCCAGCAGCCGC
rnacentral:rRNA from 1 species